rnacentral:misc_RNA from 1 species
CAGAGUUAUCCAACUCCCAAACCCAUGUGAACUUAUCCUCUUUGUUGCCUCGGCGCAAGCUACCCGGGACCUCGCGCCCCGGGCGGCCCGCCGGCGGACAAACCAAAACUCUUGUUAUCUUAGUUGAUUAUCUGAGUGUCUUAUUUAAUAAGUCA